AUUGAACGCUGGCGGCAGGCCUAACACAUGCAAGUCGAGCGAGCGGCGGACGGGUGAGUAAUGUAUGGGGACUGCCCGAUAGAGGGGGAUAACUACUGGAAACGGUAGCUAAUACCGCAUACUAUCGGAUAACCCAUAUGGGAUUAGCUAGUAGGUGAGGUAAUGGCUCACCUAGGCGACGAUCCCUAGCUGGUCUGAGAGGAUGAUCAGCCACACUGGGACGGAGACACGGCCCAGACUCCUACGGAGGCAGCAGUGGGGAAUAUUUCACAAUGGGCGCAAGCCUGAAGUCGCCAUGCCGCGUGUAGGAAGAAGGCCCGAGGGUUGUAAAGUUCUUUGAUGCGGGAGGUGUUACCGACAGAAGAAGCACCGGCUAACUCCGUGCCAGCAGCCGCGGUAAUAC
rnacentral:rRNA from 1 species